AUGGCCAUUGUGGAGGCUGGAGAAGGAAGGCUCGGGAUGUUUACUGUCUCUAAGCCUAGUGUGCACCAUAUCUUGUAUGAAGAGCAGUGUAAGGAUGGGAGCGGCGCAAACCAGUGGCAAUCCAAGUCUGUGAUCUCUUUACCGGAAAAUUAUUACUAUGGCAUCGACGGUGUAGCUGGUGGAUACUUGCUCCUACACGGGUCACUUAAGCAUACUCAAGUAGUAGACUAUUUUACAUUGAAUCUACAGACUUUCCAGAUUGAGCGGUUCUGUCAGAUUGAUUGUCAAAUAGUUGGCACACUAUAUACAUCAUCGUCUGGUGAACGACGUAUCAGGGUGCAUAUGGCAGCUGCACCUGUGGUCACAGAUCUUGGUGAAAUGUAAAGUCAAGCAGAUACUGGUGCCAUUGUGUCAGUGUUGGCUAGAAUCGCUGUUGAAAACUCACUGUCUGAUAAGCUAGACAGUGUUCGACAACAAUUACAGUUAAAGCUUGUGAAAAGUUUAAAGGAAUACCGGAACCUAUAUGUUGUGCAAUAUCGGAUAUGAGGGAGACUGAUAUAUCCAGAAUCAUUAAGAUACUUGCCAUUAUACAUCCCCUAUGCAAAUCCCUUGCUGUGCGUGGUGGUUAUGCUGACGUCUCUCUUGAUGAACGUUGUGCUGCUGGUUUCAGUAUGAUGAUACUGCCUGCAAGAAGGCUGCUCAAUUUUAUUUAUCCAUCUCUGUACAGGCUUGAUGAAGUAUUGACAGUGGAACCAGAUAUGAUUGACGGGCCCUGAAGCGGUUGCCAUUAACCUUUGAGUGCCUAGACACUGCUGGUUUAUAUCUUCUUGAUGAUGGCUUCACCUUCCUAGUAUGGUUGGGUAGGAUGCUCCAACCUGAGCUCAUGAACGACAUUCUUGGAGUCAGCCUCUCAAACUUCCCUGAUUUAUCAAAGAUUCAGUUGAGAGAAUGUGACAACAAUCACUCAAGAAACUUCAUGGCAGUACUAAGAGCCCUAAGGGAGAGGGAUUCUUCAUGUUACCAGCUGCCCCGUGUGGUACGGCAAGGCGAGCAGCCAAGAGAAGGCUUCCUACUUCUGUCCAACCUCGUCGAGGAUCAGAUGGCAGGAACAAGCAGUUACAUGGACUGGAUACUCCAAAUUCACCGCCAAACACAGAGCUCGUGAUGAUGUAUGGUGGAUGUUCCAGAAAUUUUUGUUUUUGUGUAAACUGCUGCAGAUUCGGCUGCUGUGCCAGUCCCCGGUCGCCCUCAUAACCAUUGGAACAAAAAAUGGCGAGCCAGCUGUGUUCUACAUAUGCCAUCCUGUUAGCAGCAGCAGCGCUCUCGCUGUCGGCGAGCAAUACAAACUUUAUUGUUAAUAUUUCGUCCUUGUGAUUAUUUUUUGUGACGAGAAAAGGAUACAUAGCUGUUGUACCAGAAUAAGUAGGCAGCACCUUUGGUAAAUUGUACAAGCGUUUGGAGUCUUCUGUAGGGGUUUGUACGUUUUCGUAUCGUCGACAACUUUAGUUAUCAAGAUUGUGUAAACUCUUGUUUGACUGUUGGUACUCAUCUGUAUGCAAAGUGAAGCGCCUUUUAACUCAUGGUGUGUGCUGUAGGUGACAAAUGAAUUCAAGAUUCAUAUUUUCUUGUGAUA